AUUGAACGCUGGCGGCAUGCCUUACACAUGCAAGUCGAACGGCAGCACGGGAGCAAUCCUGGUGGCGAGUGGCGAACGGGUGAGUAAUAUAUCGGAACGUGCCCAGUCGUGGGGGAUAACGCAGCGAAAGCUGUGCUAAUACCGCAUACGAUCUACGGAUGAAAGCGGGGGAUCGCAAGACCUCGCGCGAUUGGAGCGGCCGAUAUCAGAUUAGCUAGUUGGUGAGGUAAAGGCUCACCAAGGUGACGAUCUGUAGCUGGUCUGAGAGGACGACCAGCCACACUGGAACUGAGACACGGUCCAGACUCCUACGGGAGGCAGCAGUGGGGAAUUUUGGACAAUGGGCGCAAGCCUGAUCCAGCAAUGCCGCGUGCAGGAUGAAGGCCUUCGGGUUGUAAACUGCUUUUGUACGGAACGAAACGGUGAGCUCUAAUACAGUUUGCUAAUGACGGUACCGUAAGAAUAAGCACCGGCUAACUACGUGCCAGCCGCCGCUGUAAAAC
rnacentral:rRNA from 1 species